AUAAUAUGUAGCGUAAGAGUAUAAUAAUAGUAGUAAUAAUAGAACUGCAAUAACGAUCAACAGAACAGGCGCGGAUAAGGGAAUGUGUUAUUACAUUCGAAGAAACUAUAUAUAUAUAUAUAUAUAUUCUUAUGGAUAACCUCUAUUACUUCAAUAAACUCGUGAAUUUCAACUGUAAUAUUUGUAAUGAUGCAUCGGUGCAGAAUGUAACGUACUGGUAUCUGUCUGUGUGUCAAACGAUACUAUAAACUCGACUGAGUAGUUGUUCCUUCAUUUGUGUAUUUUUUUCUGGUGCGAAAUAUUAAUUUUGUUUGGAAAUGAAAUAUACACCGUGUUCCUAUUGUACCAUUAUGAAGCAUUGUGAGUUAUACUGUUACCAUACUCCACACCUAUCCGAUAGACAUCAGUGUUAUGGUGACGGAGUCUAGGGUUACAUAUAUUGACGUAAAACACGUCACUGACGUGUAUCACUUGCUCUUUCGUACUAAAUCCAAUGCAGCCUUUUGUCGCGAUGUGAAGCAGCAACCACUAGGAAAACCUUAUUAUUCACCGCUUUCAAUUAUGUGUGCUCGUCCGGGCUUUAUGUCGAUAUGAAAAUUAAGAUAGUUUGUCGUUAUCGAGUGUGGUUAUUUUGUUUCAACCCAUCAGCAGUUCAUAUAACAUCGUGAUUGCACCCUGGAGUUUCCUAUUGUAGAUUUAUUACCAGGUAGAUGUUUUAACGUACAUUAUUUUUAAUAAAUAUGUAAAAAAUAGCUA